rnacentral:tRNA from 1 species
UGGGCUGUAGCUCAGUGAUAGAGCGCUUGCCUAGCAUGCAUGAGGCACUGGGUUCGACUCUCAGCAGCACAU